rnacentral:lncRNA from 1 species
AUGGUGGCUACCAACACCUGUGGGACUACUGAGGAAUACUGCUUGCAGACUGGUGUGACCGGAGUCAACAAGUCCUGUCACUGUGCAACGUUGGCCAACACCACCUACAACCUUCCUAACCGACUACAACAAACAGGCCAAUGCCACCUAGUGGCAAAGCCAGACUAUGCUGGCCAGGGUACAGUACCACAACUCCAUCAACCUCAUGCUACAUCUGGGAAAGGCUUGUGAUGUCACUUACGUGGGCCUCAAGUUCCACACCAGCUGCCCAGAGAAUUUCGCCAUUCAUAAGCACACUGGGGAAGACAGGCCCUGGAUUCCUUCAGUGGGUCCUGUAAGAACACAUGCUCAAAGGCUAACCGUGGCUUCAUCAGGACAGGAGGCGACGAGCAACAGGCUUUGUGUGCUGAUAAAUUCAAUGACAUUUCCCGACUCACCGGUGGCAACAUGGCCUUUUCAACUCUGGAAGGAAGGCCAAGUGCCUACAACUCUGACAACAGACCCGUACUACAGGAAUGGGUAAUUGCCACUGACAUCAAAGUGACACCUUUGAAGAUGAAGUGUUUAAUGACCCCAAAGUUCUCCAAACAUUAUUAUUAUACAAUCUCAGACUUUGCUGUGGGUGGCAGGUGUAAAUAUAACGGACAUGCCAGUGAGUGUAUAAAGAAAGAGUUUAACAAACUCGUAUACAACUACAAACAACACAUACGGAGUUGACUUGGCAGGUGUAAUAUAUAACAGACUUGACAGUGAGUGUAAAAAGACAAACUCGUAUACAACUACAAACAACACAUAUGGAACUGACUGUGAAAAGUGCCUGUCUUUCUUCAAUGACCAGCUGUGGAGGAGGGCAACUGCUGAGAGUGCCAGUGAGUACUUUCCUUGUGGCUGCAAUGGCCCAUCCCAAGAAUGCCACUUUGACCCUGAACUAUACCGUUCCACUGGACCCGGUGGCCACUGUACCAACUGCCGGGAUAACACAGAUGGUGUCAAGUGCAAGAGAUGUUGUGAGAACUCCUUUUGCCUUGGGAACACUAAAGCCUGCUCUCCGUGCAACUACAGCCCUAUUGGUUCUCUCAGCACAGUGUGACAGUUAACAGCAGGUGCAGCUGUAAGCCCAGAGUGAUGGGUGACAAGUGUGACCAUUGCCAGCUUGGGUUCCAUUCCCUCACUGAGGCAGAAUACAGGCCAUGCCCCUGCGAUCCUUCUGGCAGCAGAGAUUAAUAUAAUGUUGAAACAGGGAAAUGUGUUUGCAAAGAAAACAUUGAAGGCUUCAGCUGUGAGAGAUUCAAACCUAGAUUUUAAAAUCUGGAGUCAUCUAAUCCUAAGGAUUACACACCCUGCUUCUGCUUUGGAUAUUCUUCUGUGUACACAAAUGACGUUGGCUAUAGUGUCUAUGACGUCUCCUUGACCUUUCAGAUUGAUGAGGAUGUGUGGCAUGUGGAAUGUAGAAAUGGCUCGGAGGCAUCUCUGUCUCUCAAGUGGUCUUCAGACAGGCAAGAUAUCGCCGUGAUCAUAGACAGUUACUUUCCUAGAUACUUCAUCAUCCCUGCAAAGUUCCUGGGCAACUAGGUCCUGAGUUACAUUAAGAACCUUUUCUUGGGGGCUGGAGAGAUGGCUCAGCAGGUAAGAGCACCCGACUGCUCUUCCAAAGGUCCUUAGUUCAAAUCCCAGUAACCACAUGGUGGCUCACAACCAUCCGUAACAAGAUCUGACUCCCUCUUCUGGUGUGUCUGAAGACAGCUACAGUGUACUUACAUGUAAUAAAUAAAUAAAUCUGAAAAGAACCUUUCUUCUCCUUCCGAGUGGACAGACAGAAAACACUUGCCUCUCUUGCAGAGGACCUUGUCCUUGAAGGAACUGGCUUGAGAGUAUCCAUGCCCUUGAUUGCUCAGGGCAACUCCUACCCUAGCAAGACCACUGUGAAGUACAUCUUCAGGCUCCAUGAAACAAGAGAUUACACUUGGAUUCCC